CCUAUAUCUGAAAUGGUAAAGAAUCUGCCUGCCAUGCAGGAGACCCGGGUUCGAUCCCUGGGUAGG
rnacentral:tRNA from 1 species